CUUAUGUAGGUUUGACGUGACGCUAAUGCGGAAGUGUCGAUUUUGGAAUGAACCAUGCACCGGAGAGGGGUGGGAGCGGGGGUUAUAGCCAAGAAGAAACUGGCGGAGCCGGCAAAGGAUUCUGGGCGUUGGAGACUUUUAUUACGAGCUGGGGGUUCAGAUAACCAAAGUGUGCCUGGCUCUCAAACACCACAAUGGGGAAAAAGGGAUUUGUGACAGUCGGCGAAAUGAAAUCAAGUUUGAACUGGGAAACGGAAAGAGCUAAACACGUUCUGGUGAGUAAAAUACACGGCUGUAUCUUCACAGAGAAUCCGUGCUGGCAAAUCUGGGAUCCUGGUAACGUGUCGGCGUUGUACGAGUGCGGUCGAUUUAUUUAGGGAGGAGCAUUUACUAAAGGAAGGUUUGGCUUGGGUCGACUCCCAGGCUCCGGGUGAAGCCCAGUACUGGCUGCCAGCUCUCUUCACUGCACUCUAUUGCCCACAAAUGAAUAUGGAAGAGAACGGAGGACCUUCUUGAUUUGCUGGGAGUCAUUGAUGGAAGAAACCUUUAUUACGCCGGACUCUUGUAUCUAUAAAAUAAAGUCCCUUGGGUGAAAAAUCCGUCACGUCGAAAGGACUGGAGAAAUUCAAGAUCUUUAGCCUCUACUUUCCUCUCCUUCUGUCUCCCCGUAUUGUACUCACACACCUGGUGAAUUUAAGGAGGUGCAAGAACAGGAGCCUAACUGAUUAAGGUGAUAACGUUCCCGUUAUACAGACUGAGCCUUGUGAUAUGAUCAGCUCCUCAAUGCCUCCAUGCUGCUGCUGGACUAGUAGAACUGAAACAAGGCUACGGCUGAACAUUGACUUUAAAACAUACCUGGGAAAAUCCAGUAUUGGGAUUUUGAUGUGCUGAGAGCUAGAGUCCGGCAUUGGGUCAGGUAAAUGCGGAAUAACCGCAAAGUGGUCGGGUUUGGUUCAAAUAGUCCCCAAUUGCUUGGCGGUGUCAGCGGGUAACCCGGAUGGGUCCCCAACAUAAGUGCGGUCUGAUCCCUCCCACCCUUGUGGUUCUUCCAGUUUUUACAUUUUAUUGUGAAGAUUCAGCACUGGAGUGACAUCACUUCUGGCCAAAUGUGACGUCACUUCCGGCUUCAAGUGUCCCCCAGGUCGGAAGGUUAGUUGGCCUAUUGCUGGUCGGGACAUGUGGGUCGAAUUGCAGGUUUGUGGUACUAAGAGCAACUGGUGUUAACGUUGUAUUUAUACAGGAAUCAGGGCGAGUGUACGAAGCUUCUCUUUAUGGAAUAAAAACCUUGUUAUAUA